CCUUUCUGUACGUGUACUCCCGAGGCAUGGGGAGACUAAACACCAACUCACUUUAAAAAAUAUUUGUCAUUUGUUAGAUAGAAAGUUCAAGAGAUACAUUAAUUAUAGUUGGGUCAAAAACGAGACUUCUUCACUUAACCAGGACCACUUCUCUUAGAAUCUCCUUCCUUAGUUCUUCUUCUUCCUAACCGUGAAUACCUUAAACCUUUUUUCAAUCCUCUCUCUAAAUCCCUAAACGGAACUUCUACACCCUUAAGUGCCUCCAACACUUACCUUAAACCUAUCAACUUAAAUCGAUAACAACAAAACUAUCCUUAAGCCACCAAUUCAAACGCACACAAACAAACCUUAAGAUUCACCAACAACCAAAACAAAUCGCAACAGUAUGGUAAAAGGCAUGCACAAUCAUUUAUACAAAAAAAAGCAAUAGGUUUAAUGCAUAAGGAAGAGAUCCGAAGCUCGCCGGAAAAUAGAGUUCCCGACGAGCGUACCGGCGAUAUAAUCCAACCUCGAGAGUAACGGCGCAGAAAUUCGGAUCCUUACCCUAACAAUGGAGGGUCCUUAUAUAGAGCUUUGGAUGUACGAGGUUUUGAAUUCCUCUCUCAUGAGCUUGGCAAAUUAGUGGGAGAAUCAUUCCGUUAGGUAGCAGAAUUUCUCAGAGUUAGUGGUGCUUCAAAUCGGUGUGGUCCUUCAAAUGCUUUACUCUUCUCAAUCUCCCACCAACGGUUCAUGAUGACUUGUGCAUCACACUUCUGAAAUGGUUAUCAAGGUUGGAACAUCGCAUCGGUUUCAUUCACUGCAGUUAGCUUAAUUAAUCCAUAGAGUGGAGGUUUACAAUAUUCACGUAUCGAUGCGGUUUUGGCCAAUGGUUGUAGGCUUGUGCUCCGUGAUUCUAUUACCAUGAGGUUGGUGCUUUUGUAAGGAUGCAUUUGUGAUAUGCAGGUUUGGAUAUUGAUUCCCAUAUCCUUGCUUGGAAAUCUAAUUUGACAAUCUUAUUAGCCUCAAAAACUGUUUCCAAUGAAUUUCCCUGGAAAGCAACCAAUCAACAGAGCACACAGAAGCGCUUCAGCACUCUCAAUAUCAACCUUCUCAGAGUAUUUGCCCGACAAUACUUCGGGGCAACCUAUGCAGGGCUUUCAGCCAAUCCAGUCAAGUUUUGACCUUCCCAAAUUCUCAUAUUGAGUUCAAAAUCUGUAGGCUUUAACUUUCUUGAUUUUUCAGGUUUGGUAUCUUUGUGCACGACUCUUGCAAGUCUUUGUUGCUGCUGAUGCAUUGCUGGAUGUUUGUUAUGAUGUAUUUCGGCUAGUGGUUGUAGCACCUGUAUCCGGAUUCUACAGCAAGAUUACGUCACAGCAUGCACCUGUUGGAAAAGUUUGGAUGAUUGUGUGGUUUGUAAAUUGACGACGUUAUGUGACAUGGCGUUUUUGCAGGUUCAAUGUCGCACAAGGGGCUUGGC